UACGUAGGGAGCAAGCGUUGUCCGGAAUUAUUGGGCGUAAAGAGCCUGUAGGCGGCUAUACAGGUCCGCUGUGAAAACUCGAGACUCAACCUCGAGACGUCGGUGGAAACCGUAUGGCUAGAGUCCGGAAGAGGAGAGUGGAAUUCCUGGUGUAGCGGUGAAAUGCGCAGAUAUCAGGAAGAACACCCGUGGCGAAGGCUGCUCUCUGGGACGGUACUGACGCUGAGACGCGAAAGCGUGGGGAGCGAACAGG
rnacentral:rRNA from 1 species